UACGUAGGGACCGAGCGUUGUCCGGAUUCAUUGGGCGUAAAGAGCUCGUAGGCGGCCACUCAAGUCGAAUGUGAAACCUCGAGGCUUAACCUCGAGCCUGCAUUCGAUACUGGGCGGCUAGAGUCUGGUAGGGGGAUCUGGAAUUCCUGGUGUAGCGGUGAAAUGCGCAGAUAUCAGGAGGAACACCGGUGGCGAAGGCGGAUCUCUGGGCCUUACCUGACGCUGAGGAGCGAAAGCAUGGGGAGCAAACAGG
rnacentral:rRNA from 1 species